AACGAACGCUGACGGUGUGCUUUAGACAUGCAAGUCGAACGAGAAAGCCCUUCGGGUUAGUAAAGUGGCGAACGGGUGAGUAACACGUGGGCAAUCUGCCCCUCGCAGGGGGACGAACCGGAGGAAACCCCGGCUAAUACCCCGUAACGUUCAAAGGGAGGCAUCUCCCCUUCGAAGAAAGGUAGCUUCGGCCAUCCGGCGAGGGAUGAGCCCGCGGUGCAUUAGCUAGUUGGUGGGGUAACGGCCCACCAAGGCGACGAUGCAUAGCUGGUCUGAGAGGAUGAUCAGCCACACUGGGACUGAGACACGGCCCAGACUCCUACGGAAGGCAGCAGUCGGGAAUCUUGCGCAAUGGGCGAAAGCCUGACGCAGCAACACCGUGUGUGUGAGGAAGGCCC
rnacentral:rRNA from 1 species